AUUGAACGCUGGCGGCAUGCUUUACACAUGCAAGUCGAACGGUAACAGGCCGCAAGGUGCUGACGAGUGGCGAACGGGUGAGUAAUGCAUCGGAACGUGCCCAGUCGUGGGGGAUAACGCAGCGAAAGUUGCGCUAAUACCGCAUACGAUCUAUGGAUGAAAGCGGGGGACCGUAAGGCCUCGCGCGAUUGGAGCGGCCGAUGUCAGAUUAGGUAGUUGGUGGGGUAAAGGCUCACCAAGCCGACGAUCUGUAGCUGGUCUGAGAGGACGACCAGCCACACUGAGACUGAGACACGGCCCAGACUCCUACGGGAGGCAGCAGUGGGGAAUUUUGGACAAUGGGCGCAAGCCUGAUCCAGCAAUGCCGCGUGCAGGAAGAAGGCCUUCGGGUUGUAAACUGCUUUUGUACGGAACGAAACGGUCCUGGUUAAUACCCGGGGCUAAUGACGGUACCGUAAGAAUAAGCACCGGCUAACUACGUGCCAGCCGCCGCGGUAAUAC
rnacentral:rRNA from 1 species